rnacentral:rRNA from 1 species
AACGAACGCUGGCGGCAGGCUUAACACAUGCAAGUCGAGCGCCCCGCAAGGGGCGCGGCAGACGGGUGAGUAACGCGUGGGAACGUACCCUUAUCUUCGGGAUAGCUCCGGGACACUGGAAUUAAUACCGAAUGUGCCCUUUGGGGGAAAGAUUUAUCGGAUAAGGAUCGGCCCGCGUUGGAUUAGCUAGUUGGUGGGGUAAAGGCCUACCAAGGCGACGAUCCAUAGCUGGUCUGAGAGGAUGAUCAGCCACAUUGGGACCGAGACACGGCCCAAAAUCCUACGGGGGGGAGCAGUGGGGAAUAUUGGGCGAGGGGGGCAAAUCCAGUCCCGCCAUGCCGCGGGAGUGAUGAAGGGCUUAGGGUUGUAAAGCCCUUUCACCGGAAGAGAUAAUGACGGUAUCCGGAGAAGAAGCCCCGGCUAACUUCGUG